rnacentral:tRNA from 1 species
CGCGGGGUGGAGCAGCCCGGUAGCUCGUCAGGCUCAUAACCUGAAGGCCACAGGUUCAAAUCCUGCCCCCGCAACCA